ACCGGCAGCUCAAGUGGUGGCCAUUUUUAUUGGGCCUAAAGCGUUCGUAGCCGGUUUGAUAAGUCUCUGGUGAAAUCCCGCAGCUUAACUGUGGGACUUGCUGGAGAUACUAUUAGACUUGAGGUCGGGAGAGGUUAGGGGUACUCCCAGGGGGCGGGUGAAUGGAUAGAAUCCGGGGGUGAGAAACUAAGGCGAGGGGGGCUAACUGGACUGAACCCGACGGUGAUCAGGGUGGUUCAGUGGCUUGGCUCG
rnacentral:rRNA from 1 species